GACGAACGCUGGCGGCGUGCUUAACACAUGCAAGUCGAACGGAAAGGCCUGCUUUCCCUUGUGGAUUGCGGGUACUCGAGUGGCGAACGGGUGAGUAACACGUGAGUGAUCUGCCCCCAACUUGGGUAUAAGCCUGGGAAACUGGGUCUAAUUCCCGAUAGGACUGCAGGGUGGUGCCUGUGGUGGAAAACGAUUUUCUAGUGGUUGGGGAUGAGCUCGCGGCCUAUCAGCUUGUUGGUGGGGUAAUGGCCUACCAAGGCGGCGACGGGUAGCCGGCCUGGGAGGGUGGACGGCCACAUUGGGACUGAGAUACGGCCCAGACUCCUACGGGAGGCAGCAGUGGGGAAUAGUGCACAAUGGGCGGAAGCCUGAUGCAGCGACGCCGCGUGGGGGAUGACGGCCUUCGGGUUGUAAACUCCUUUCGACCGCGAGGAAGCCACCUGGUUGGAAGGGUGGUGACGGUAGUGGUAGAAGAAGCACCGGCUAACUACGUG
rnacentral:rRNA from 1 species